rnacentral:lncRNA from 1 species
GGGGGUAAAGAGCAAUUUGUGGCGUGGUCGGGGACGGCUCGCGUUUGUUUUUCUGCCGAGCUGUCCCCUUCACGUUCAAAGUGGCUGGAAAGCUGUUUGCUUUCCCGGCGUGGCCCCAGCUCCACCCAUAGUUAGCGCUUAAUAUCUAUUCCACCUCGUUCUUUUCCCCCCUCCCCCACUAAGUAGUUCGAAAGGCACAGCCACCUACUUACUCCGGUUAGCUUCUCUGAAGCCGACAAAACUAAGGCGGGGCGGAUAUUGGGAGAAGUGCAUACUCUCAUCUCUGCUUGCAAGAAAGUGGCAUUCUGUACCCUUCUAAAGGACAAUACAUCAAGGCUGACUGUGCAGCUA